AGUAUCUGCUGUGUGCGCGGCGCGUCAUGCAUGCGUCUAUCUUGCUCGCAUAAUAAACAGCUCAUUGUUGGCAUGUGAUGGUGCAUAAGAAAUGGAAGCUAGCGGCUGACAGACUAGCUAUAUAGAGACUGCAUUCUCUGUGUGCGACACACAGUGCUGCUUGGUCGCUACACUGAGAGGGUACAUAAUAUCACACCGUGAGGAGGUCAAUAGAGCAUGAAUGCAUAUCUCUCUCUACUGAAGGAUGAUUAUGAAAACGCCAUGAUCGAGAACAAAGUUAUCUGAUGAUUAUGAAAGACCAUCGGCUGAGGCAUUACUCUGCAAGAUUAGUGAUGAUCGCUCUUGAUUCGGCGAAGUCGUCAUCGUAAGCCUGAAUGAAUGCUAAAAGAGGUGAUCAUCAUGUUAGGAUCACGGCUAUGUUACAGCGGCAAGGCUUGUACUCUAUCUUGUACAUCACCACCGCCACUCUUACCAUCCAUACCACCCAAAUGGGCGUGUCAUCUCCCUGAACCAUUUCCUACAUGGAUAAUAAUCUUGAUUGUCUGUAUGUCCGUAUGCUUACUAGGAUCGUUCAUGACAUACAUGGUAUACAGCAGGCGGGUGGGGAAGAAGAAACAGCAGCAGAUUGGCGACCAGGAUUGUGAGCUGCGAUCUAAGAAUGGAAGUACAGCAUCUACCCGUAACCUUGUUCCCGGCAACACAUCAUAAGCAAACAAGCAAAGUGAAAAGAACAAAGUUCCUCGUCCAAUCAUAAUUAUCAACGUUAUGGAGUACUUCUUGUUUUAUGAGAAGUGAGAGGGAGAAAGAAAGACUCUCGUGUGAAUGACUUCAUGUGCUUUGAGGGAGCAACGAUGACGUCACAGAAGUAGACCUAAUAAAGAGCGUAGUUACCAGCCGACAAAUUAAAGAAUUCAGUUGGAGAAUAGAAUCGUUUUAGUAAAAACGAUUGCAACUGCUUUAUUUAAACGACUGUGUGUAUCUUUACCAGUACCACUGAAGUGCAAUACGAAUUCAUGCAAGUACAUCAUGCAUAUAGGGACUGACAUAGGAUGUAAUUUCAGCCUCUACUCAACCACCAUGUUUACACUACCGAUUUGUGUAUUCGGUACUCGAGUAGAAAUCUAUCCAUUCAGUUUUAACAAUGCAUGAGCAAACUAAAAGCGUCAUCGAAUGCAUAACAUGUGAAUAUGAACAAAAUGUGACUAUAGGCAUCAUUAGGAAGCGUAUUAUCAAGAUUACAUGUAGGAAAAUUAAGAAUGUGCUUCAAAAAUUGGGACGGGUGAUAUAAUGCUGUCACCUGAAAUUACGUUUAGAAACGAUUAAUACAUAACUUGCCAUUCUCGGUUAAUAACUUAAAUGCACGAGUUGGGUUCUGACUACACCUCUUAUGAGAUGGAGUGAUUAUAACGGGUCGUAUAAUAUACAGCAGACCUGUGCAAGGCCCGAGUUACAGGUUACCAACAUGUGUAAACGACUCCGUGACUCCCUAACAGUGAUUGGAACAUACUCGUGUAUAGACGCAGAUUAAACGUGAUUAGCAAGUUCACAAUCCUUGGCAGCAUAAUCCCCCCCCCCCCCCUGCCAAAUGCAGAGUGUGUUUGAUUUGGAAUAGGACGGCACUCGGGGGCGGUGAUUUCUUUUCAUGACUGGGGGUUGGGACGAAAUGCGAGAUUUUCAACAAUAUUUAGUUGUACAUUUUGAAGGAUAUUAUGCAAGGGAGCGUAGCGACCAAGCGAGCAGAUGUUUGCAUUUUAUUAGUCUAAACCCUGCUCUCUUUGGCCGUCCAGAGCCUGAAAGCGUGUUGCGGUCUUUGAUGUCCCUUUUUUUUUGGUGGGGGGGGGGGGGCACUUUUUCAAAU